rnacentral:lncRNA from 1 species
GGGGCGGAGGUGACUUUCUGCAGAGCUAAAUGAAGCUGUGGAAGUCGCCUCUCCUUGGCCUUGGGAUGCGGCCCAAAUUUUGAUGUUGGGAGGGGAAAUGGAAAUUAAAUUCCCGGCAGACUGGGGUGCGAUCUCACAUCUUGAUCCUACAGCGGGUGCGUAAAGGUAGGAAUACAGACCUGCUUUUCUGGUUUAACUAUGCUAAGUCAAAAAAAGCGAGAUAUGGAAUUAACUGCAUUGAAAAAUUGUUGUAAGAUUGAUUGGGUGUUGAGCCACCGCCACAAAGACAAAGGAGACGAGAUUUAGGACGAACAAAUCUAGGAGCCAGAAGAU